UACGUAGGGACCGAGCGUUGUCCGGAAUCAUUGGGCGUAAAGCGCGUGUAGGCGGCCCGGUAAGUCCGCUGUGAAAGUCGGGGGCUCAACUCCGGAAUUGCCUUUAAGACUGCAUCGCUAGAAUUGUGGAGAGGUAAGUGGAAUUCCGAGUGUAGAGGUGAAAUUCGUAGAUAUUCGGAAGAACACCAGUGGCGAAGGCGACUUACUGGACACAUAUUGACGCUGAGGUGCGAAAGCGUGGGGAGCAAACAGG
rnacentral:rRNA from 1 species